GGGGGGAAGGGGCCGGACUGCUCGGGGUUAGGCUGGGCAUCGGUCAGCGAGUGUUUGCUUCAGACUGUGACCAAAGGCAUCCUUCCAUCUUCUCCUGGUUGAGCUAAACAGACAGAGCUCUUGCAUUCCCUCUCUCUCUAAGACAUGAAGAAAAAGGGUUGGCUCAAGAUCAAGGUAAUCAAGGCACUGCAUAAGCAGAAUGGAUGAAGAGUUUCCCAAACUGGAGUAAGAAUUGAUCAGUAUGGGCAAUUCAGCAGUUUUCUAAUUGUUAGACUAACAUUGUAAGAGCAUUUUAUAUGCAGCCAAAAUGGGUUCAUUGAUUUCAAUUGAAUGUAUACUCUUUCACUUAGCUGGGGAUCUGAACCAUUGUCCCUGCAAAUGGAAGUAUUCAUGAGCAUAACAAUGACAUUAUUCAUCAAUGAUAUGUUUUAUAGCUCUUCUUGUGCUGUUUAUUUGACUUUGCUUAGUUCAAUUUUAAUCAUUUAACUUGUGGUUUUCAUAGUGGAAUUAUGUCUAUAGGAAAAUAAUUUUUUUCUAGGUUAUAUAACUGUUCUGCAAACUGCUUAACAUCAAAAGAAGAAAGAGGUUUUUUUUUUCCUUUGUGCUACUCAAAGUUCAGAAAUGAAAUUAUUUCUAUUGCUUGUUACUGUUUUCAAUGUUUAUUUAGUCUAACAUCUGCAGCUGGGCAAAUGUUUGGUUUUUUUUCCUGUGUUUUUUGUGAAGAGAGGAGAAACACAUUUUCCUUUUUAUUUUAUUUUAAUUUUAUUUUUGUUAUGAGGGAAAGCAGCAAAAUUGUCAGUGCUUUUCAGAUGUACACAAAGGAAGCACCUCUUAUGUGCAUAUAUAUGCAUAUAUUUGCAUAUACCUGUGUACUUACAUAUGCAUACACAUGAGUAUGUAUACAUCAUAUUUAUCACCAUAUUUAUGUAUAUGCAUUU